rnacentral:rRNA from 1 species
AUUGAACGCUGGCGGCAUGCUUUACACAUGCAAGUCGAACGGCAGCACGGGCUUCGGCCUGGUGGCGAGUGGCGAACGGGUGAGUAAUAUAUCGGAACGUACCCAGAAGUGGGGGAUAACGUAGCGAAAGUUACGCUAAUACCGCAUACGAUCUAUGGAUGAAAGCAGGGGACCGCAAGGCCUUGUGCUCCUGGAGCGGCCGAUAUCUGAUUAGCUAGUUGGUGAGGUAAAGGCUCACCAAGGCGACGAUCAGUAGCUGGUCUGAGAGGACGACCAGUCACACUGGAACUGAGACACGGUCCAGACUCCUACGGGAGGCAGCAGUGGGGAAUUUUGGACAAUGGGCGCAAGCCUGAUCCAGCAAUGCCGCGUGAGUGAAGAAGGCCUUCGGGUUGUAAAGCUCUUUUGUCAGGGAAGAAACGGUAGAGGCUAAUAUCCUUUGCUAAUGACGGUACCUGAAGAAUAAGCACCGGCUAACUACGUG